GUCUAUUUCCACGAUGGAAACAUGACCAGAAGAAUUGUGGGGCAUCUCACCAAACCCAGGAAAACACAGAAUUAAUCUGGAAAUCUUGGGACAGAUAAAAUCUAGGUGAAAUGAAAAUAAAGCUACAAAGCAAAGCACUGUUGUGCGUAAGGGGGUCGAUGUCGGGUCCAGAUGGUGAAUUGAACCCCGUUUGUUGUUUCCUUGGAAACGACCAAGUUAAGAUCCAUGUGAAUGUUGUCUUCAGAUUCAGAAGCCCUGUACCGGGAGCUGGACUCCAGGGCUGGAAACUGAGGCUGCUGCUCUGUGGCAAAGUGACUUGGAUCCUCCAGGGAGGAGUGGCAGGAGAGGCCUGGGAUGAGCACUGCUGACUUCUUGGAGAGAAGUUUUCUUGGACGAGGUCAAAUGAGGGCAGGAGUUGAGAUGUGGAAGUUACUGCACCUGUACCAAGCCAUGGAGCUGAGUGGCAGAGGCACGAUUUGAACCUAGAAUCUAGA
rnacentral:lncRNA from 1 species